ACCCGGACCAGGAAGCUGUCCUCAACAGACUCCAGGAAUCUCCCAGAUUGUCUGCCACCUGCCAUGCCACUGUCCCAGCAGAUAUCUGGGUGGUUGAAAUCCCCCAUCAGGACAAGAGCCCGCGAGCGCAACACCUCCUGCAGCUGAAGCAAGAAGGCCUUGUCCACAGCCUCCUCCUGAUCUGAUGGCCUGUAGCAGACCCCAGCCACUAGAUGCCCUUUGCUGGACCGAUCCUUGAUUUUCACCCACAAGCUCUCGACCUGAUCGUGGCUGUUCCUCAGACACAGUUCUUCACAAUCUAUCCACUUCCUAACAUAGAGAGCAACUCCGGUCACCCCUCAUACCCUGUCUAUCCCUUCUGAAAAGCCUGUAGCCCUCAAUCAGGAGAUUCCAAUUGUGGGAUUCAUCCCACUAUGUUUCCAUGAUAGCAAUUAGAUCAUACUUUCCCAAUUGCACCACGGCUUCUAGCUCCUCCUGUUUAUUUCCCAUGCUGUGUGCAUUGGUAUAGAGGCACUUCAGCUUGGCUAUUGGCCUCAUUGCCUUAUCAGAGGAGCCCUCCCUAAUACCUCCAGGGCAAGACUGGGCUUUUCCCUUACCACCUCCCAAGGUGUUUGUAACUGUUGGGGAAUAACGCUCUGAAGGCAUCACAGACUGCCUGCUUGUCUCUGCAGUGCUCGGGGCUGUUCUGAGCUGCAGGCUCGCUGCAGCCCCGUGGCAUAGCCUUGCAUCUGGUGACGGACUGAAGCUGGAGAAUCCUGGCAGCAGAGGACGCUCCUGCCCCACAGAAGGGCUCACAGCUCCACCGCAGCUCCACCGACCUCAGUGCUGGUGAGGAGGCUGAGAUGCCUCCAAGUGAUGAAUGCAGUCCACCCAACCUUACACCUCGUGUGGUUCACUGUGCGAGGCGACCAGGAAGAAAGGUGGGCACAGGAUAUUUUACAGGUUCUGACUCAGGUUCCGAGAUUUUAAGUUUACCGUCUGGAAUUAAAGCCUUCUUCAACUGCCUGUUCUGCCACCUGAUCCGCCAUCUUAUCUCCAGUUUCCCGUACAGUGCUACCUUUCUGAUGUCCUUUACAGAGUAUAAUAGCCAUGCUCUUUGGUCUGGCCGACUGGCACAGUCAGUCUCCAAGCAGUCGCACGCUGCCGGUUUGGAGGUAGCUCUGUGUUGGUGUUAGAAGCAUGGAAUGGCCUGGGUUGAGAAGGACCUCAAAGAUCGUCCAGUUCCAACCCCCUGCUAUGUGCAGGGUCACCAACCGACGGACCAGGCUGCCCAGAGCCUUGUCUUGAAGAAGAUUGUUUUUAGGAGAACAAAAACUUUGGAUCACCUUUCAAAUACAGAGAAAAAAAUAACGCUGUAUUAUUUUUUUGUUUUAUUUUCCUGUUGUUAUGAUCAGGUAAAGAGACAGACAUAUCACAUCUCAGAAAUGGCUUUACUUCAGUGGCCUUAAAUGGUCCCUCUGUGAUCAUUAUUUUCUUAUUGAAUCGCUGUCAGACACAGCUGGUGGAUUUUUGGACGUGCAGUUUGGAGUUCCUGGCUAAAAUGAACCACAUGAAUACGGAUUACGGAUAUUCUUAUCUCAGCACGCUUUUGAGAUGGAGCAUUCAAAUUACAAGAUCUUCAGUCUGCUGUUUUAAUCUGACCCAGAAGGAAAACUUCACUACAGUUCGUUUCCUUGAUUCCUGUGCAAUUUUAUUUUGGAACUGAAGCUCAAUCGGAUUUAAACAACUUUUUUGAAAGUCUGUAAUGAAAGUUGCAUUUUUGCUUACACGUAGCCGCUUUGACCCACGGUGAAUGGAAGUCAUAAAGCAGGGUAUAAAGGGAGUUUCUAAAUUGCCUGUUGUUGAGGCCAUUGAAGGCAACAGGAGAGUCCAGAAUGUGACCUUUGAGAGCAAAUUUGCCUCUGCUUCUUACUGAAUUUUGUGUUGCGUUUUUCUGUAUAUAUAUUUUUUUGACUCAGAAAUACAAAUUAUAAUGAAGGUGAGGCACUUCACAAUACAUUUGGCUUCAGCAUUGCUGAAUAUACAUUUGUAUAUGUAUAUAUAUAUGUAUAUAUAUAUGUAUGUAUAUGUAUGUAUAUGUAUAUAUAUGUAUAUAUAUAUUGCACAGCAAAACAUUUCAGAAUCUGCAGAACGUUGCUAAUAACUGCAGUGGAACAGGAAUAGUGAAAACAGAUUUCUGCUUUGAAUGCUUUCAAAUUUAAUAAUUAAUGCAUUUUAUUUUUACUUGUAUAGGAUUAUCAUGAACUCUAGAUAGGUAGUUACAUUUGAAAAUGCUAAGUGAGAUAGCAAAACUGAAUCAUAAACACAGGAAACAGAUUCUGCACUCAUUUGCUUGCAUUUCUGUCCUGCUGGCAUGCUCUUUGUACUUUCUACCAUUUCAGAAUCACAGGAGCUAAAAUAGUCUGAGAAAGAAGAGUCCAAAUCCUUGCCUUUGGAAGGCCCAGCUCGUUACCCAACUCCUGAGCAAAGAAAAAGAAGAAUAAAGGCUUCAGUCACCACACAUACUCACACUGGGAGACUUCAGCCUCAGCGUGACUGUCAGCCCUGUGGACACGCUGGCUGUCACUGUGCCCACCGUCUGCCACAACAUCACCUGCAGCCUCUGUGGAACUUCAAUGGCCGUCUCCACACCGACCGCCUCAUCCAGAGCAGCACUGCCACGGGUCACCGCCUCAGUCCCGGUCCCAGGUGUCCCCUGUGCCGGCAAUCCCCCAGCAGUGAGUGAGUGGGCAGUGGACACAACCUGGGCUUCUCGCCGGGCCCUGCACGGGUGGUGGCAGUGUUCCAGGGGCACCGCCUCCGGCCCCACCCAUCCCUCUCCAAAAACGAGCUGAUGCUGUUCUCCUUCCUGGUUUGAGCGGCUGUGUACGGACUGUGCGACUGCCCGAGGGGAACCUUCCAACCUACUGCCUGAACUGAACUGAACUGAACUUCGGUGUCACGAGCGCGGCUGCAGAUAUGCAGUAACCGGACUGAAACUGCAACUAUCGGAAGACCCACAUGCAGAACAAACCGUACAGUGCACGGAAAUCACACUGCAGUGAUGAAGGAACUCGCAACGGGGCCGCUGUUGUGUUUUGGUAACAGUGAGGAGGCACCAGCAACGAGCUGUGGAUUGGCUGCCCCCCCUGCGCUGCACUGUGCAUUCACGCGCUGGCCACGCGUAGAGUGCGUGAUCCGGCUCAGGGCAUACAGACAUGUCAGGAGGGCAGCAGGGUGAGGUAACUCAGGCAGAGGACACCGCUGCCUCCAUGGGGAUGCCCGCAAGGCCCUGAGCCAACCAGUCCCUCCCCUUACAGCCAAUCCGAGCUGUGCUGGCUGAUGGUCCUUUUGGGACCUCUUGGCGGAUUGGUAGCUGUGCACUGCAGUGCUUAAACGCUCGCUUUGGCCGAC